rnacentral:rRNA from 1 species
GACGUAGGGCGCGAGCGUUGUCCGGAUUUAUUGGGCGUAAAGGGCUCGUAGGCGGUUUGUCGCGUCGGGAGUGAAAUCCACUGGCUUAACUGGUGGCUUGCUUUCGAUACGGGCAGACUGGAGGUAUGCAGGGGAGAACGGAAUUCCUGGUGUAGCGGUGAAAUGCGCAGAUAUCAGGAGGAACACCGGCGGCGAAGGCGGGCGCUGGCGGCGAACUGACGCUGAGGAGCGAAAGCUGGGUAGCAAACAGG